rnacentral:rRNA from 1 species
GACGAACGCUGGCGGCGUGCUUAACACAUGCAAGUGGAGCGACGAACCAGGGCUUGCCCUGGGGCAGAGCCGCGAACGGGUGAGUAACACGUGGGUAACGUGCCCCGAUGAUCGGGACAACCCGGGGAAACCCGGGCUAAUACCGAAUGUGCUCCCCUCACACCAGUGAGGGAUGGAAAGGAAGCUUCGGCCUCCGCAUCGGGAUCGGCCCGCGGCCCAUUAGCUUGUUGGUGAGGUAACGGCUCACCAAGGCUGCGAUGGGUAGCUGGUCUGAGAGGACGAUCAGCCACACUGGGACUGAGACACGGCCCAGACUCCUACGGGAGGCAGCAGUGGGGAAUCUUGCGCAAUGCGCGAAAGCGUGACGCAGCAACGCCGCGUGGGGAAGACGG